GCCGGGGUGGCUCAGCUGGUAGAGCGUCGGACUCAUAGUUAUCCGAAGGCCCCGGGUUCGAUCCCCGGCCCCGGCA
rnacentral:tRNA from 1 species